AUGGAGAUUCUGGAUGAUGUUAUUUCUGAGGAGCGAAGUGCCUUUGUGCCGGGAAGGCUCAUUACUGACAAUGUGUUGACGGCAUAUGAGUGUGUUCACUCCAUGAAGAGGAAAAGAGGUAAGCAAGGGUGGUGUGCGGUCAAAUUGGAUAUGAUGAAGGCAUACGACCGGGUAGAGUGGGCAUAUCUGCAAGGGAUUAUGCAACAACUGGGAUUUGCCGAAGACUGGAUAUCACUUGUUAUGCGGUGUGUUACUUCGGUGAGUUUUCAAGUGAAGGUGAAUGGUACGCUCCUCGCACCAUUUCAGCCUUCGAGGGGCUUCCAUCAAGGGGACCCCAUUUCCCCAUAUCUUUUCUUGCUUUGUGGCAAAGGUUUAUCAUGUAUGUUAAAGAACUAUGAUAGUGGAUGGAUUGAUCGUGGAGUCCGUAUGGGUCUCACAGCGCCAUGGAUAACGCAUUUGCUUUUUGCAGACGACUGUUUGGUUUUUAUGAAAGCGGAUGGAAGAAGUGCAAUGAGACUGAAUGAGAUACUGGAGGCCUAUGAGUUAGGAUCCGGUCAGAGGGUGAACAAGUCGAAGAGUUCAGUCUACUUCAGCCCAAACACUGGGGCGUCGAUGAAAGUGGGGGUAAGAAAUAAUUUGCAAAUACAGAGAGAAGCCCUGUCUGAGAAAUAUCCGGGUCUCCCUACAGCAGCAGGCAGAAUCACUGAGAGACAAUUUCAGCAUAUUGUGGAAAGCUCAAGGGGGAGAGUUCAGUGGUGGUGUCAAAAAUUCAUGUCAAGUGCAGCGAAGGAAGUUUUGUUAAAGUCAUUGAUCCAAGCUCUACCUACCUUCUCUAUGAGUUGCUUCAAACUCACUAAGGGGUUGUGCAAGAAAAUAACAGCCAUCAUGGCAGAGUUUGGGUGGGUUGGUUCACUUGACAAACAAGGAAUGCAUUGGCAAUCUUGGGAUAAAAUGGCAAUCCCAAAGAAUAAAGGAGGAUUGGGGUUUCGAGACCUACAGAUCUUUAAUGAUGCAAUGCUUGCCAAGCAAGCAUGGAGGUUACUGGAUAAACCACAAAGUUUAUGUGCUCGUGUGCUUCGAGCUAGGUACUAUGCUGAUGGUGAUAUUUUACAAGCAAAUUGCACAAAGAGUGCAUCACCAACACGGAGAGCGAUUAUAAUCGGAAGGAAUGUGCUAAAGGAGGGGCUUAUCAGGAGGAUUGGAAAUGGACGAACUACAGAAAUUUGGCAUGACAGAUGGUUGCCAGGAAACAUCUCAAUGAGACCGGUAUGCAGGCUGUCCGAUGACCCGGUUCAAUUUGUUUCGGAUCUAAUGGAUGGUGAAGGACAGUGGGACAUGCAAUUGAUUCAGAGAAUGUUUAUACAUCCGGAUGUAGAAGCUAUCAUGAGUAUACCGCGUCCGAGGAGGGAAACGGAGGACUUUUGGGCUUGGGCAUGGGAGAGGUCAGGACUGUUUUCAGUUCGGUCGGCUUACCAUGCGAUGAUGGAGAGACGAGGGACUGAGGCCGCGACACCGUCCAGCUCGACGGACGACUGUGACAUAUGGAAGGCAUUGUGGAAGCUGCGUGUUCAGCCAAAGAUCAGAGUUUUUUGGUGGAGGGUUUUAAAAAAAUUUCUACCAUCACAUGGCGAGCUGAAUAGAAGGCAUAUAAGAACAAACAGUGUCUGUCCGAUGUGUGGCUGUGAUAUGGAGACGCUAUUUCAUGCGUUGACUGAAUGCGAUCAUGCUUGCAGAUAUUGGGAGGCAGCAGAGGAGUGGUUUGAUUUUAAACUACCCAAGUUACAUCCAUUAACAUGGGCAAGGGACUUACUGGACGGGCAUGUUGUGAGCAGAGAUAAGAGUGCUAUAGCUAUAUCGGUGAUGUGGGCAAUCUGGAUGAGUAGAAAUAAGUACGCACAUGAAGAGAUCAAGUACCAACCUCUCCGAUCUAUGGAGAUUAUUGACGAGUUUAUAAAAUCUUUGGAUUUCCCAGCCCCAGCACCGGUGACUAACUCUUUCAUUAUACUGACGGAGGAGGAAGGUUGGACGAAAAUCAAUACUGACGGAGCAGUUUGUAAGCAAAGAAGAGUGGGAGGAGCGACAGCAGUAGCACGGGACCAUUCGGGGUCUUUCAUUUGUGCGAGACAAACAAAGUAUGAUGAGCUGACUGAUCCUUUGGUGUUAGAGCUGACCGCAUGUUGGGAUGCAAUGCUUUUGGCAUUGACAAGAAAUCUGCAGAGGAUUGUGGUGGAAACGGACUGUCAGACAAUUUGUAAUCUAUGGAAGGCAGAGGAGGACAGGUCUGUUGGAUCUCUGAUGAUCCGUGAGAUGAAAUCAUAUCUCACAAAUUUGCAGGAAUUUAGAUUGAACUUUGUUCGUAGAAGUGCUAAUAUCCCUGCUCAUCUUUGUGCUAGGGGGCAUUAG
rnacentral:rRNA from 1 species